ACGCCCAGAGCGGGGAGGAGGUAGAGGCGGGAAGCUGCAGACCUACAGCUGACUUACGAUGCACCCCAGAGCUGGCCCUCCUGCCUCUGUCAUGGCCUCAUCAGUUUCCUGGGGUUCUUGCUGCUGUUGGUCACCUUCCCCAUUUCCGGCUGGUUUGCCCUGAAGAUUGUGCCCACCUACGAGCGGAUGAUCGUGUUCCGUCUGGGCCGGAUCCGCACCCCCCAGGGACCUGGCAUGGUUCUGCUCUUGCCCUUCAUUGACUCCUUUCAGAGGGUGGAUCUGAGGACACGAGCCUUCAACGUCCCUCCCUGCAAGGUGAGGGGCUUCUCAGCUGCAUUGACAGAGGAACUGGGGGCCUGUCCAGAAUGUAUUGUGGUGCCAGGACCUUGGCCUGUGAGUCACCAUCUGAGGGGGGCAGGGGGAAGAAGAGACCAGAAAAUUGAUGGAGGCUAGGAGGACAUCCUUGCUUCAUACACCUAACCCUACAUACUUGGUGACACCAUUUGCCCUUGAGGAGCUAGCUGCCAAGCAGGUGGGUCAAGCUGGGUGGCCCCAGUGGGCCUGACCUCCCUGCACCCCCAACCCCUCAAGUGUCUCUCUCUCAUGGCCUCCCCCAACAGCUGGCCUCUAAGGACGGGGCUGUGCUGUCCGUGGGAGCCGAUGUCCAGUUUCGCAUCUGGGACCCGGUGCUGUCGGUGAUGACUGUGAAAGACCUGAACACAGCCACACGCAUGACAGCCCAGAACGCCAUGACCAAGGCCCUGCUCAAGAGGCCGCUGCGGGAGAUCCAGAUGGAGAAGCUCAAGAUCAGCGACCAGCUUCUGGUAGGCAGCCCCUCACAAGACGGAGCUUGGGGGGUGGCACCGGCCUGGCUCCACCUGCCAGGUCACCUUGAGCAAAGAGUCAGACCACUGUGGGCCUCAGUUUACCAUAUGUCCCAAUAGUGUAACCACCUUCGAAGAGCCAGUGCCUGGGUGGGGCCAUGAGUUGAGGAAUGGCAGGUGGGCGUAGACCAUAACGAUCUUGGGCAAACUUGUCCCCGAGAAGAGGAAGUGGCCCCGGCAGACCUUCCUGGGGUCUGCCCCUUAGUUUUUACCCCUCACUGCUCUGCCAUGAUGACACUGGCCUCUACAGCUCUCAUUCCAGGCCUGACUCAUGGGGCAGGCAGGUGGGUGAAGGAGCAGGGACCCUCCCAGCCCAGUCACCUGCUGGGGAAUUCCAGGCUCACCAUGCAGCGUGUGCAUGCUUGUGAUUUUGGUUUCCUUGUUUGGAACAGAACAAAGGCACAUGAGGACAUUUGGAUCUUUUUCCUGCCUCUUCUCCAUGUGUAUAUUGGAGUUUGCCCUAAAUCUCUUCUGCUACAAGAUGGGGUAGAAAUAAAUACACAUGCAGAGUCGUGUCCCCUGCAGCCACACUCAACUUGUGCUUCCUCUUGUGUCCUGACAGGGGAAUGUAAGUGAUGUUUCUCCCCAUUCCUCUUGGCUCUGCUUUGCCCUGGGGAAUCAAGGUUAGAGGACAGGCAGGGGAAUGGGAUAAAUGCCAGUCCUGGAGUUCCCACUGGAAGCAGCGAGGGGAAAUCCCUGAGGAAAUACUAUUUGAGAUCCUAACAAUAGCUCUCAUGUGCUUAGCAGUUUAUGGUUUACAAAGUCCUUUUGUCUAGCCCAGCAUUUCUGAGCUUCACAUUUUUGCUGCAAGUUGGUACUACUGUUUUAUUUUGGAGGGAGGAAACUAAAGCUAAGAGAUAAUUUGACUUGCCUCUGAGAGCUAUGGUCAAGGGCAGAGCUGAGCCAUAGCCAGACCACCUGCCUCCAUCCCACCAUCCCCCCUCAAUCCAGUGCUUGAUCUAACACAACUCAGAUAGCAAGUGGAUAACAACUUUUAUUCAUAAAACCAUGUCCCGUGUUAAUUCACCUUUAGGAAGAGAAAAUUGAUCUUGGACUUGUUGCACAUUGUUUUGAUGUGAGACAGGCAGUUUGGGGAAGUCAGUCCCACACCAGGAUGUGAGAGUCAUUUAGGCCCCAUUUCCUAGACUGAGUGAGAACCUGGUAGAGUGAGAGCUGUGCCUGUGGUUGAGACAGAACCUCAGGAAGUCCAGCACACUGCCCUCAGGCCCUGGUACAGGCAUACACUUAUUCACAUGCCCCUUUUUGCCUGAUUUUCUUCUAGAGAAAUCAGAGUCCCCACCUCUCACCUGCUGGACCCUCCUUAGCCAGUUACCACUCCUUACCUGCCAGUGCUCCAGGCCAGCUGCCUCAGCCGUUCGCUGCCUUCCUCCAGCCCCACCACUGCCCAUUGCUCUCUGCAGCAGGCCUUGCCUCCUAACACUCAGGAGAAAGACUCUAGGAUGAGCACUCUGCUUCCUCCAGUUUCACCCCUUCAAACCCACCUGCCUCUGUGCUGCUUUCCUGCCUCCUUGCCUUGCUGCCUCCCCUCUCUGAGGCUCAUCCCUGUACUGCGCAGUGCUGUGGGCCCCCUGCUGUCCCAGGAUGCCUUCCCUCCACUCCGUGCACUCUCUCUCUGUCACCUCUCCUUUCUGUGUAGAAAUGUGCCCUCCCUUUGCCCCAGUGCCCUCUAGCUCCCACUCCCUUUCUCCCCUUUUCUUCUGCAAGACUUUCAUCCAAGCUCCCAGCCCCUGCCCCCACAUCCUUCAUCCUGGCCUCCUUGGGCUCCCAAGACAGCGCUGGCCAACAUCACAGUGACCUCCCACAUGCCAGCCCAGUGGGCACCUCUCAGCCCUUCCCGUAUAUCACCUGAUGGCAGCAUUUGACAUGGUCGACCCAGCCCCCAGCCCCCAGAACCCCCUGCAUUUCCUCCUUCCCUGUCACCCCUGGUUGCUGCCACUUAUUCUCCUGCCCUUAAGUUCCAGGGUUUCAUCACUGGCCUCUUCUCAUCUGUGACCUCCCUGGGAGAGCUCAUCCAUCUGGGCUGUCUGCUGCCUGUGGAUGCUGAUUAUUCACAAUGACCUGCCCUAGCCCUGAUGCUUCUGUACUCUGGGCCAUUUCUCCAGCUGCCUACUGGACAGUUGACUGCCCCACAGACACCUCAAGCUUACAGUAGU
rnacentral:sRNA from 1 species